CCUCCAGCCGCGGACAGCAGAGGAGCGACGGGGGGCAGGGGUUGGAAAGGGCCUCCGAGAGGCACGUUUAGCAGGAGUGGGCUGGGGGUUGCAAAGGUAGGGUAUGUGCAACUCCGGGUUGUGGUUGAGCCACUGUCCCCUUUGAACCCCAGGCUGGGCCUUUUCUACCUUCCACUCAGCCUUGGCUACCGCAGUCUUGCUCAGAAACCCGACUCCUGAAGUUCUCGGCGAAAUGCGGACCCCGCGUCUUGAGGCACGCUGGGAAAUGGAGUUCUGACUACGCGAUAGUAGCCUGGGCAGACGCCACGUGAUGCCGCGAGGUCUCACGGGAAUUGUAGUCUGUGAUUUUUUUUUUUUUUUUUUUUUUUUUCCAACUCGUGGUUUUAGGUUUUGAAGCAGAAUGAUGCAAAAAACAAACAAACAAAACAAAACAAAAAACCACCGCCGGGAAUUCCUGCGCAGUUGGGACUGCUGUUAUUUGUUGCAUUUUAUUGUCAUCUAGCUGAAUUCCUUUAUUUUAUAUAGGAGAAAAUGGAAGCCCAUUUCAUUUACUGAAUACAUAAUUACUGAGCGCAGACCAGUCCUGAAUAAAGCAGGCCCUGUCUCAAGGAGUGUACAGAACCCUGAAGAUGAGCAAAAGCUUGGAACUUUCAGUUAUGCCCUCAUUCUCUUGAGAAGGGAGAGGGGCUGAAAAUGAAGUUAAUGAUCGAUCAUGCCUACAUGAUGAAGUUUCCAUCAAAUCCCAAAAGUAUGGAGUUUGGAGAGCUUCUGGGUUGGUGAACAUGUGGAGGUACCGGGAGAGUGCCAUGCUGGAGAGCCCCUUCCCAUAUACCUUGCUUUAUCUCUUCUAUAUGGAUGCUCAGCUGUAUCCUUUAUCAUAUCCUUUUAUAAUAAACUGGUAAAUGUAAGUAAAAUAUUACCUUGAGUUCUGUGAGCUGCUCUAGCAAAUUUAUAGAGCCCAAAGGAGGGGUCAGUGGAACCUCAAUUUAUAAUCAGUUGGUCAGAAGCACAGGUGACAGACAACCUGGGCUUGUGGCUGGCAUCUUAAGCGUGUGUGUGUGUGUGUGUGUGUGUGUGUGUGUGUGUGUGUGUGUGUUGGGGUGGGUGGGGCACAGUGUUAUAGGACCGAGCCCUUUAACCUGUGGGAUCUGAUGCUAUCUCUGGGUAGAGAGUGUCAGAACUGAAUUAAAUUGUAGGCCAGGGGUGUGGGGGCGCCUGGGUGGCUAAGUCAUUUAAGCACCCAACUUCAGCUCAGGUCGUGAUCUCAUGGUUUGUGAGUUCAAGCCCCGCAUGGUGUGAGGUCCAGCCCGACUUUGGGGCUUCGAGCUGACAGUGCAGAGCCUGUGUGGGAUUCUCUCCCUCUCUCUCUCUCUCUCUCUCUCUCUCUCUGCCCUUCCUCACAUGCACGCUCUCUCUCUCUCAAAAAUAAAUAAAAAUAAACUCAUAAAAAAAAUUGCAGACCACCCAGCUGGUGUUGCAGAAAAUUGCUUGGUGUGGGGAAAAAGCACACAUUUGGAAGUGAAGUGUUUUAUGUGACUAGUGAAGGAGAUUCACAGGGAAGAAACACACAGGAGAUAGACUGAAGUAAGGUUUUCCCUGACACAAGUGGAAAAUUAAGUUUUUCCAAUAUAUGAUCCCUCAUUCUGAUACACAGAUUAUCCAAAUGUUAACAUUUCAUCAGGUUUGCUUUAUUUCUAUGUAUCUAUCUACACACAUACAAUUUUUUUGCUGAACCAUUUGAGCAUAAGUUUCAGAGAUAAAGCCCCAUUUACCUCUAAGUACUUGGGAUGGUUAAUUUUAUGUGUCAAAUUGACUGGGCUAUUGGGUGCCCAGAUAUGGGGUCAAACAUUAUUCUCGGUCUUUUUGUAAGGGUGUUUUGGGAUGAGGUUAACAUUUAAAUUGGCAAAUCAGAUUGCCCUUCCUAAUGUGGGGGGGCCUCGUCAGUCAGAGGCCUGAAUAGAACAAAAUGGCUGACCAUCUUUGAGAAAGAGAGUUCUUUCCUGCCUGAGUGCCUCUGAUUUGGGACACUGGCUUUUUUCCUGCCUUUGGACUCAAACUGAAACAUUGACUCUUCCUGGGUCUUCAGCCUGCUGGCCUGCAGACUGGAAUUGCAGCAUUGGUUCUCUUUGUUCUCAGGCCUUUGGACUUGGACUGGAACUACACCGUCAGCUCUCCCGGUUUCCAGCUUGCUGACUCACCUGGCAGAUCUUGGGACUUGUUAGCCUACAUAAUCGUGUGAGCCAAUUCCUUAUAAUAAAUCCUUCUCUAUCUCUCUCUCCGUAUAUUUCCUAUGUGUCUGUUUCUCUGGAGAACUCUGAUAUUUACUAAUGAGUAUUUAGUUAAAAAAAAAAGACAUUUUCUCACAUAACCACAAUGUAAUUGUCACACUCGGGAAAUUGACAUUGAUACAGUACUAUUAUCUAAUAUACAGAUCUUAUUCAAAAUUUGUUAAUUUUCCCACUAGUGUCUUUUGUAUAAAAUGAAAAAAAAAAAUGUUCUGGUUCAGGAUCCAAUCUGGGAUCACAUGUUGUAUUUAGUUGUUAGAUCUCUUUGGUCUCCAUUAAUCAGGAAUAGUUCCUUAGUCUUUGUCUUUCAUGACUUUGAUAUUGUUGGAGAGUACAGAACAUUUAUUGUGUAAUGUCCCUCAAUUUGGGUUUGUCUGCAGAUUUAGGAUAUGCAUUUUUGGCAAGAAUACUGCCAAAUGAUAUUAAGUCCUUCUCAGUGAACCAUAACAGUGGGCAUUAGCUUGAUUUGUCUUAUUGCUGAUGAUAAUUCUGAUCAUUUGUUAAAGGGAUAUCUUUAAGUUUCUCCAUUGUAAAAUUCUUUUUCCAUUUGUAAUUGUGGGUGAUAUUUUGAGUCUAUGUACUAUCUUGUUUCUCAUUAAGCUUUUGUCUACUAAUUUUAGCAUCUGAGAAGUGUAUCUGAAGCAGGAGUUAUUGAAGAUGGAAUGAGAUCAUCAUGGAUGGGUGGGUGAGGAAGUGGGUAAGGGUGAGAGAGCAUAUGGUGAAAAAGACUCCAAUUUUCUAUUAAAUCACUUUGGCUAGCAUGUGAAGAUGGUAUUAGAGGAACAGGAAGAAUAGAAAAGCCGUUCACAGUAGUAUGGUGAAAGAUAAUCUGAGUGAAGGCAGGAGAUGGGCUAGAGAGAAAUAAAUUGAUCAGAAUGCUGCUAAAAAAGAUAGAAUCUAUAGGACUUGCUUUUGGUCAGGGCUUUGCAACUUGCUAAUCCAGCAACUGAUAGGGAAUGUUGGGAGGCUGUGGUUGGAGAAGGUCUUGCUAGGGAGGUGAUUUAAUCAGAGAUCUGAAUGACUAGGGGGUAACUAACCAUGAGGAAAGAGAGAUCUGGGCAGAGGGAAUGUAUUCAUUAUGUUCUGGAUGUGUUAUGUUAAGCUCAAUGUUGGCAUACUUGUUGUUCUUAAAUGUAUUGGAUGGAUGUGUGAACUAAUGUGCAAAUAGGGCUGAUGUCAUUGUUAUUUCUGUUGCAAAAAUAAAUGGAAGCUUUGUAAAUUGCAAA